rnacentral:Y_RNA from 1 species
GGCUGGUCCAAGUGCAGUGGUGUUUACAACUAAUUGAUCACGACCAGUUAUCGAUUUCUUUGUUCCUUCUCCACUCCCACUGCUUCUCUCGGCUAGCCUUUA